UAAAUUUUAGGUGUGAUCAAUUUAUUUUCUGUACCUCAGUCAUUUAAUUCCCUAACAAUGCAAAACCUUUUUAAAUUUGGAUGUGAACUUUUGGGGUGUUUAGUGUAUACAAUCGUGGCAAUGAGCCAGGCUGCGGUCUUUGUUUUCCCAAAUCAAGCGGCCAUGCCCGACAGAAAACAAGACUCGCUGCUUCAAGUCACCACAAAGGGAGGAAAUUAAUGUUGUGCUGAUUUGGUUUGCUUUCAGAUGUUUGGCGCUUCAGUUUAUUUAUUUAUUAGUUUAUUUUACUUAAAAAGUCUUUGUUAAAAGAAAUACUUUUGGCUAAUUUGGCUUUUGGUAUAAUUUUUUUGAUAGGCUUUUUGUGCUCAGAGUGCACAAAAGAUUCCACUGUACAGUUAUGACAUUGAAUAGUUACUGUAUUUGUUUUAGGCAUUUGUAAAAGAGAACUUUGUUUGCCAAAAAAAAAUGAAAAGCACAUUCGAACGAAUAUCUCCUCUGAUCUCACAGCCAGAAUCUCACCUACGUUUAACCUCAGCCUGUCUUUUGUUUCAGUUUCAACCUGACUACCUAUCAUUGAUUUGAAUAACAGUCAACGUGUACCAAAAAACUAUGACCACAUAAACCGAACCAUGUGUUUUGUGUACUGUUAUUUAUUUGACAUUUUUGGGGCCUCUUCCCAACUUUGUUGACAUGUUUCACACAAGGACACGCUGGGAGUUUGUUGUGUUGUCAUUGUUCUGGAUGGUCAGGGUGACCAGUGAUGAUGUGACAUUUCAGCAGGUCUGCUUUUUUUCUACCAUGUUAACUUAUUAGAAUUUGUGCAAAGUGGACAAGAUGAAAAUAAUAAAACUGCUGGCUUAUGUCAUGAA